rnacentral:rRNA from 1 species
CAGAUUGAACGCUGGCGGCAGGCCAACACAUGCAAGUCGAACGGUAACAGGAAGCAGCUUGCUGCUUUGCUGACGAGUGGCGGACGGGUGAGUAAUGUCUGGGAAACUGCCUGAUGGAGGGGGAUAACUACUGGAAACGGUAGCUAAUACCGCAUAACGUCGCAAGACCAAAGAGGGGGGACCUUCGGGCCUCUUGCCAUCAGAUGUGCCCAGAUGGGAUUAGCUUGUUGGUGGGGUAACGGCUCACCAAGGCGACGAUCCCUAGCUGGUCUGAGAGGAUGACCAGCCACACUGGAACUGAGACACGGUCCAGACUCCUACGGGAGGCAGCAGUGGGGAAUAUUGCACAAUGGGCGCAAGCCUGAUACAGCCAUGCCGCGUGUAUGAAGAAGGCCUUCGGGUUGUAAAGUACUUUCAGCGGGGAGGAAGGUGUUGUGGUUAAUAACCACAGCAAUUGACGUUACCCGCAGAAGAAGCACCGGCUAACUCCGUGCCAGCAGCCGC